AAAGCAAAAGAGGCGGCCACCCUAGUCCCGCCGACCGCUGCUACCGACGAAGCAGUGGCCUCUCCGUCGCCGUGGAGAUGGCUGAAUCGUUGUCGGAGAAUGGCAGCGAAGUAGAACUCCAACUCCUCCUCGAGGAGGCCUCCGAGCUCGCCGAUAUCGCGCGCGAUCUUUGAUCGACCGCCCCUGCUCCAUGUUGGGUUGCUG
rnacentral:misc_RNA from 1 species